rnacentral:lncRNA from 1 species
GGUGAAGACAUUUAGUGCUUUGUAUCCAGAUUCAGGAAGAAACUCAGUCAGACUGGUCAGUAAGGGGCUGGGCUUGGAGGCAGGGUUGUCCAUUUUAUCAGUUUAAUGUUCUCAUGUUGAAACUUCAUUUAAACCAUCAUAUCAUGGUUAAAACUACCCUGAGGUUACCUGUACUUAUUCAGUUUACUUGAUUGUGAAAACUUCCAGGAUGAAAUUACAGUGGCCCUAUGAAAGGACUGUUUUUAUUCACAGAUGGAGGAUGAUGGAUCCUGGAAAGUGGAUGGCAACAUCUGGGAAAGGCAAGCCUUCUGAACAGUUUCUGUUGCUACACCCCAGGGAUCUCCCCCUUUGGAGAGGUGAUGCCAGGGAAAACACUCAGCAGAUGCUGAAUCCCUUCUCUAAUUACAAGUCAUGUGAGAAAUCCUCAGAUGGGAAGAUUUUGAAGAGCCUGUCACCUUGUUAGCUGAACCAUCCAAGGCAAGACAUUCCCUUAAACCUGAUCUAAGUCAUCAGCAAUUUAUUUCCACUUGAUUCUGUAUGUCUGUGUCCUCAUAAUCCCUUUUUGUCUUGAAUUGCUUUAUUUUGAAUUUGGAUUUUACUUGUUUCAUAACCUAUCUUGAGUUAAAGACAAUUUCAGAUAACUUGCCUUCCACAGAUCUGACAUUACUUAAAAUUUCGGCUUUGGAAAAUAUUAGCAAGGGCUCAAAUCCCCAGAUUAUUGCAAAUAUUCAAAAUAUGUGAAUCUGUGUAAGUAGCAAGUCCUUAGAGAUCUCCAGUGGUUGCUAUUAGUCAGAGAUUUCUUCGACAGACCAUAAAGAAGUGGGGUCUGAAAAAGGUUCUAUUUCUCAUGUUUCCUGUAACAGUGGUAGGAUAUGUUCACCGAGGCAUGAGCUGCUGCUGCUA